rnacentral:lncRNA from 1 species
UACUCUAUUACGUUUUGUACAAAUAAUAAAACAGAGAAUCUCAAGCAGUAACAAUUAAAUAAAUAAUAAAUUGAAUUGCACCUAUUAAAAAUCACUCGUUUAAUGUACUAAAUGCAACAAAUUGGCGACGAGGAUGAAACAAAGCAUGUGUUACCUUUCAGGCUUUUGGAGUCACAGCAACAAUUUUUUGACCGUUUUAUUGCAGAGAAUGUAAUAUUCGACAUGAAUACACAGCAUUUAAAGCCUACGAUGUUACGGACAGUGAACAGACAGUGAAGCGCUCAAUUUUUUAUUUCUUGGAUGGGAAAUGAGCUAUUUGAGUUGAUUGGAAAACUGUUUGGAAAUAAAAAGAUUGAUACAAAAACCUUUGAGGAGAUUAUUCAAAAGCAAACGCAAUAUAAAUUUCAUAAUCGCAUGAUGAAUGAAGGUGUGUCCUAUGCGAAUUGGAUUGUCGAACUUCGUGGGUUAUCGCGCAACUGUGCAUUUAAUUGUAAAAAUGCAGACUGCAACACAGACUUUGUUGAUUAAAUGAUUCGAGACACUAUAAUUUUAUAUACUCCUCAUGAAACUGUUAGAACCGCAGCACUGCAAAAGCAAAAUCCAACGUUGGGCGAGGUGGUGUCUUCUUAUCCGAAACAUAAAAAUCUCUGUCAACUUUAAAAGGUAAUUCCACAAAAAUUAAUUUAAUCAAGCAUUAUAAAAAUAAUCAAGGAAAAAGCAAUACAACAACUACGGAUCUCAUCAAAAGCAGCAGGAGCUUCCUGCUCUAUGAUAGAUUUGAAUUUGUAUCAUUUGUUAAUAAACUAAACUCCAAAAAUCCAACACAAUUCUAAAAGCUUAGGGAAAUAAACAAAUUCCGGUACUGGGUAUACUGUACGUUAAUGUAACAUUAGAUUCUCAAACAAAAGAUCUCAAAUUAUUAGUUGCAAAUACUUUUGAGGGUGGAAACAUUUUUGGAAUGGAUUGAUGCGACGCUUUUCAGUGUUUAGAUGGAAAUGUGUUUAAAAUAAAUGAAAUUCAAACAAUGAAUUAUAAAGAAUCAGGAAAUUAACGCACUAUGUGAGAAGUAUUCCAUUUUGUUUUCGGACAGUUUAGGCUGCUGUAAUAUUUUUGAAGGGCACAUCUAUUUAAAAGAUAACUCAAUCCCCAAGUUUUUUUAAAAGCAGACCUGUUUCAUUUGUAUUACAAGAACCUUUUCAAAUAGAAGCUAAAAGAUUAGAAAAACUAGGUAUAUGGAAACCUAUCACCUAUAGUUCGUAGGCCUCUCCUAUUGUGAUAGCACAGAAACCUAAUAAUAAAAUUAGAUUCUGCGCCGAUUUUAAGCAAACGGUAAAUACACAAAUUGAUAUGGAACAAUAUCCAAUUCCCAAAUUCCAAAAUCUUAUAUACAAAUUGCCAGGUGGUGUCACGUUUUCUAAAAUAGAUUUGGCAGAUACCUAUUUCCAAAUACCAAUGGACAAAGAGUCAAAGAAGUUACUUAUGGUAAACACGCCUUAAGACUUAUUUCAAUACCAAAGGUUACCAUUUGGCGUGUCUAGCGCACCAGCCAUAUUUCAAAGAUUUUUGAAACAACUUAUUGCGAAUAUUCUUGGGAGUGUAAAUUAUUUGGAUGAUAUUGUAGUCACCGGGCGGACAAAUGAUGAAUUAAAUAAUGCAAAUCUGAGAUGCAAUUUGUCAAAUAUUAUAAAUAAAAAUGGUAUAGAAACAUCUAUUACAGGCAUUAAAGCUAUUCAAAAACUACCAAGACCCAAAAAUUUAAAAGAUGUUGAAGCUUUUCUAGGAAAUGUAACUUAUUAUAUGAAAUUUAUAAACAAAUUUUUCAACGGUAGCAGAACCAUUAAAUGAGCUGCGGCGUAAUAACGUAAAAUUUGUGUGGGAAAACCGCCACGAACAAUAUUUUAAUCAACUGAAGCAGCAAUUAGUAGACGUAACGACGUAGUCACAUUUUAAUGAGAAUCUUCCACUAAUUCUAGCUACAGAUGUAUCUUCGUUCGGCAUUGGUGCGGUUAUCGCCCACAUCUACCCAGAUGGGUCGGAAAGGCCAAUAGCCCAUGCAUCUAAAACUCUUACAACACACCAGAAAAAUUACAGCCAAAUUUAGAAAGAGGCUUUAGCAAUUGGGUAUGGCAUUAAAAAUUUCAUGAUUAUUUGUAUGGCAAAAAAUUCAAGCUAAUAACAGAACAUAAGCCUUUUGUAACAAUUUUCAGCCCUAGUAAAGGUAUCCUCAUUCACUCCGCUCACAGUUUGCAAAGGUGGGCUUUAUUUCUUUCUAAUUACAAAUAUAUGAGAUACAAUAUGAAGCCACAAAUUUGCAUUCAAAUGCCGAUGACUUAUUAAGAUUGCCUUGUACCGAUGAUAAGAUAAACGAUUUGAUGAAGAAUUGAAAUCAUUAGAAGUAAAAUUUGUAGAAGAAGUAUCGUCCUUCCCAAUAAAUGCUGAAAAAAUAAAAGAAUGUACUAUGAAAGAUAAAACGUUAGUCAAUGUAUUGCAAUAGAUAACGAACGGGUGGCCAAAUAAAAUAAAUAAUGAAAUCAAACCUUAUUUCGCCGGACGUCAAAAUUUAACAACUCUUGAAGGAAUAAUUGUUCUCCAAAUAGAGUACAACAGAGUUGUUAUCCCCCAUUGUUUUCGCGAACAAAACAAAUAUCAAGGCGAUAUUGUUGGUGGCCAAAUAUAAAGAAUUAAUAGUCAAUUGCGAAGCUUGUUCAAUGGAGUCCUCAAUGCCAACAAAAGUUUAUAGCUCAUGGAGAGAAACAUAUAAACCGUGACAACACAUUCACAUCGAUUUUGCCGGACCAUUUUUUAACUCAUACUGGUUUAUUUGUGUCGAUGCAUUUUCAGAUUUCCCCUACGCCGUAAAAGUUAAUUCCACAACAACAACAGCAAGAGUAAAGGUAUUAAUUGUCCUCAAUUUACGGCGGAAGAAUUCAGAAAAUUUUGUAGAACAAAUAAAAUUCAACAUUUAACCACAGCCCCGUUCCACCUUUCUUCAAACGACCAGCAGAGCGUUUCGUAAGAACUUUUAAGACUUCUUAAAAAAAAAAACAAAUUCAUUCAGGUAGAGAUGUAGAAAAUGCAGUAUUAACAUAUUUAUCUACUUAUAGAGCAACUCCUAUUAAAAAUGAAAGGUCGAGUUUGAUGUUACACGGAAGGCAACCAAAAACAAUGUUAAGUUGUUUUUUUAUCAAAUACAUCCAGUAUAUCUAAAACACAAACAAACAGUCAUCAUUAAAAAAUUUGUUAUUGUCGAGACUGUCAUUUUUCGUAAUUUUUCUAAAGGUAAGCGCAGGAUUAAGGCCUCAGUUCUUAAAAAACUUGGAAACAUGCUUUAUAUACUAAAACAUGGAAACUAUACAUGUAAAAGACAUCAAAAUCAAAUUCGCAAGUGUUCACCAGAACUGUCUUAUAAUAAUUCGAACGGUUGUAAAUUUAAUGAAGAACAACAUCUAUUAACAUCAGCAUGUCGAAAUCUUAUAAUGAAUCAUUUUUUACUUCAUUAAGUUCCAACUCAAUUCAAUACCCACCAAUAGAUUCGACUUCCAGCAACGAGUCCAACCUAAGAUCAAAAACCUAUAACCAACAAUCAUCAUCAAAAGCUUCUACUACUUCUGUUCGCCGUUCUCAAAGAAAAGGAAAUAAGUGUGGAGGAAUUGAUGUGUUUUAUAAAUUUAUUUAUAUAUUAAAUUUUGUUAAGUGUAAAAUGAAUUAAUUUUAUGCAGUUUACAUCACUGCAAAUAAGUUAUAAAAGAAAUGGUAACUCUAUUACCAUUGUACAAAUAAUAAAACAGAUGUAGUUGAGAAUCUAAGCAGUAACAAUUAAAUAAAUAAUAAAUUGAAUUACACCUAUUAAAAAUCACUCGUUUAAUUAAUGUACUAAAUGCAACACUUGGAAUGAUAGGGUGUCCCGUGAACCACUUUUUAGGAGGAAUACCUAGAAAACGAUGCGUUUCAAUGAACUAAAUACGG